rnacentral:rRNA from 1 species
GUGGGGAAUUUUGGACAAUGGGCGCAAGCCUGAUCCAGCCAUGCCGCGUGUGUGAAGAAGGUCUUCGGAUUGUAAAGCACUUUAAGUUGGGAGGAAGGGCAGUAAGUUAAUACCUUGCUGUUUUGACGUUACCGACAGAAUAAGCACCGGCUAACUUCGUGCCAGCAGCCGCGGUAAUACGAAGGGUGCAAGCGUUAAUCGGAAUUACUGGGCGUAAAGCGCGCGUAGGUGGUUUUGUAAGUUGGAGGUGAAAUCCCCGGGCUCAACCUGGGAACUGCCUCCAAAACUGCAUGACUAGAGUACGGUAGAGGGUAGUGGAAUUUCCUGUGUAGCGGUGAAAUGCGUAGAUAUAGGAAGGAACUCCAGUGGCGAAGGCGACUACCUGGACUGAUACUGACACUGGGGUGCGAAAGCGUGGGGAGCAAACAGGAUUAUAAACCCGAGUAGUCC